rnacentral:rRNA from 1 species
UACGUAGGGGGCAAGCGUUGUCCGGAAUCAUUGGGCGUAAAGCGCGUGUAGGCGGCCCGGUAAGUCCGCUGUGAAAGUCGGGGGCUCAACCCUCGAAUGCCGGUGGAUACUGUCGGGCUAGAGUGCGGGAGAGGCGAGUGGAAUCCGUGGUGUAGCGGUGAAAUGACGCAGAUAUCAGGAGGAACACCAAUUGCGAAGGCAGCUCGCUGGAACGUAACUGACGCUGAGACGCGAAAGCGUGGGGAGCAAACAGG